GGCUCGUUAGCUCAGUCGGUUAGAGCGUCGUACUAAUAACGCGCAGGCCGUGGGUUCGACUCCCACACGAGCCA
rnacentral:tRNA from 1 species